rnacentral:lncRNA from 1 species
CCCUUAGUCAGCCGCAAAACUGCUCCCGCAGUGUUCACAGAGGAUGUCUCCCUCAGAAGGGUCGAGUUGGCCCAGGGAUACAAGGUUUUGAAGUCUGGCAGGGGAACGGGGGCUCCUCCAGCGAUAGGUGGAGUCGCCUGGGCCAGGACAGGACGGGAAGACGCAGGCCUCUCAGCCUGCGAAGAUGAAGCGCCACGAACUCGUGGUGGGUCGUGUGCUUGUGAAGGGAGGUUUCGUGAUGAAGGAGGAGGAUUCGGGGUGAUCUUUGUGCGAGUCAUGGUAGCAGCUGCAAAGGAAGAAGAAAGGAAAAAUGAUCAGGGGUUACAGAGGCUGACUCGAUCAUAGAAGGAAGGUGAAAAACGAACGAAUGUAGGUUCGUUGCGACGAUUGAAGAAGCCCUAAGUUACGCAGAAGGAGAAAUGGAAAAACAACCCACAGCGUAUGCACCAGGCAGUUACAGGAUGAUGCGAAUCGGUUAAAAUACAAGGAAAACCAGCAGAAGAAGGAAAGUAGGUACCUUUUGAUGAUCAGGAAGACGAUGAAGGUUGAUGGUGAUUCAGAAUGCUGGAGAGCGCUGAGAGUUUUUCGCAGAAGGAAGUUAGAGCGUUCGUGAAUGCGAGGGAAAGUGAUGGAACAGUGUUGAGUGAAAAUGGGUUUAAGGGUUUUUUCGAAAUGGGUUUAGGAAGCGCAAACGGCAACUGAAGAGAGCCGUUGAUGAAGCCACGCGUCGAGCGAUGAGUGAGGGGUUUGGUGGAGCGUCAGAGUAGCAGAAGGUACAACCGCUUGGAAUUCUGCGUCAGUGCCACGUAGAUCGGUGUUGACGUGGCUCUUUCAGUCUUUUCGCUAGACAAGUCUUCGCUUAAGACUGGGGGGCUUGUGUACCGCCCUGGUGGUCGGGAGUGAUGACGUGGCACCCUGCUACAGUAUAGGCGUGUUGGCAAGGCGCCAGGUUGGCAAAAGGGAAG